ACAGUGGUCAUAUUAAUUUGAAGGUGGAGGGGUAGGAUAGUUCAGUGGUGCAGUCUAAGAUUAAGAGGCAUACACCACUUGGUAGACUAAUGAAAGCUCGUUGUGAACAACAGUAUAUCAAUGAGGCAGAUCAGAUUCCAAUUUGAUGGGCAGCCAAUUAAUGAGACAGACACACCUGCACAGUUGGAAAUGAGGAUACAAUUGAUAUGUUCCAGCAGCAGACAGGAGGUGUCUA
rnacentral:lncRNA from 1 species